CCAAAUUCCAUAUACAUACCUAUAGAUUUCCCUGUUCCAGAGAAAUUUUUGUUCUUUAUAUAUGUAUGUAUGUAAAGUCAGUUAUGGAUUUGGUUUUCUGUCAUGCAAGCUGGAAAUAAGUAUCUUGGUUGUAAAACUCAUUAUAAAUUGCAAAAAAUCUGAUGGACUGGGUCUCCACAAGUCCCGAGGCCCUACUUUAAAAGAUCAAUUGUGUAUAAAAAGAAAAAAAAAAUUGCUUAGACAACUUACAAAAAAAUAAAAAAUAAAAAAGGUCAGGGCAGGUGCGGCUAUGUGUUGCGAAUUACUGAAAUCUUAGUGGAGAUAAGAAAAAUUAUGGAAAAUAUAAAUGAAUACUGGUUUCACAUGGUUGUACUUUCAAAGCUAUUGUUUAGAAGUUUUGUAUAAGUUGGACUUGGAGCAAGUAGCCUUAAAAAAAAAAAGAUGCGUAUUCGAAUUUAUGGCUAUAGGAAGUAUGAGCUUGAGAUUCAUAAACAUUUAUGGUAUCAAGUGGGAUUCCUGGAGGCAGACUGUAUUAAUUUACAGAAUCUAUAGGGAACCCUGGAGGCAGAGUAUUAGUUUACAGAAGUUAUGGUUAUCAUUAAUAUGUAUUCAAAUUUUCUACUUGAGCAACUUUCUUGCAUCCUACCAACCAAAUUUUUUUUUUUCUUGCAUCCUUAAUAAACCACAUGAAUUUGCAUUUUUGAUGGUAGGGAAGCCUUCUUUUAGAAAGAAACAAGCAGAUCUUUCGUUCCCCCCAGAUUUUGCCAAAGACUUUCCAGUUGCAAUGCAGAUAUCCCACAAAUACAGUUUGAUCUACGUGAUCACCAAGCUUGGGCAAUUAUUUGUUUAUGACUUGGUGACCGCUACUGCAGUUUAUAGAAAUAGUAUCUGUCCAGAUCCAAUAUUUUUUACAGCAGCUUCACUAGUGGGAGGUUUUUUAUGCAAUCAAUAGGCAUGGACAGGUGUUAUUGGCUACAGUAAAUGAUCUAACAAUUGUACCAUUUGUUGUGGCCAGUUGAACAAUUUGGAGCUUGCUGUCACUCUUGCCAAAAGAGGGAAUCUUCCUGGAGCCGAGCAGCUUGUUGUCCAACGUUUCCAAGAACUAUUUUCCCAAACAAAGUACAAAGAAGCUGCAGAACUUGCUGCCGAGUCCCCCCAA